rnacentral:rRNA from 1 species
CGACGCAGCGGCGCCGCGUGAGGGAAGACGGCCUUCGGGUUGUAAACCUCGUUUCAGGAGGGACGAAGCUACUCGGGUGAAUAGCCCAGAGGGUGACGGUACUUCCAGAAGAAGCCCCGGCUAACUACGUGCCAGCAGCCGCGGUAAUACGUAGGGGGCAAGCGUUGUCCGGAUUUACUGGGCGUAAAGAGCGUGUAGGCGGCCAAGCAGGUCCGUUGUGAAAACUGGAGGCUCAACCUCCAGACGUCGACGGAAACCGCGUGGCUAGAGUCCGGAAGAGGAGAGUGGAAUUCCUGGUGUAGCGGUGAAAUGCGCAGAUAUCAGGAAGAACACCAAUGGCGAAGGCAGCUCUCUGGGACGGUACUGACGCUGAGACGCGAAAGCGUGGGGAGCGAACAGGAUUAGAUACCCUGGUAGUCCACGCCGUAAACGAUGGGUGCUAGGUGUGGGAGGUGUCGACUCCUCCCGUGCCGCAGCUAACGCAUUAAGCACCCCGCCUGGGGAGUACGGCCGCAAGGCUA